GACUUUUGGUGGAAAUUAAUACUCCCAAGGGACAUAAUUCAGCUUUUUCAUUGAUUAAUACAGGCAACAAAUGCAACUUUACAGCUGAGUAUUUUGCAUAUUUAAUGUUUAAAGUGUCUAAUAUCUUUGUUUUCAUCAUCUCAAGACAGAAUAGUAGAUUUUAUAACAAGCUCUGAAAUUUUUAACCACAAUAUGGCAUAUACUAAAGCAUGGAAUGGAGAUUAGUAUGAAAAAUCUUGAAUUUGUGCAUUUGUUGUAAAUUUUUGAUAAAAUGAAUACAAAUUGAAUGGAACUGUCCAUUUUAUCUGUUUAAAUGGAACUAUUUAUCAUUCUUUUUAAAUAAGAUAAGAUAUGAUUGGAUACAGGUUGUUUAUUUAGGCUUUUCUGAAAGAAGUAGAGAAUGAGGCAAACCAGCAUGUGGGGGUGGGGACAUAAAAUGAUCUAUGUUUCUUUAAGUACUGGGAACAUACAAGUAUUUAUUAUAGCCAAGGUUUUCACAAUAGCCCAGUAUUGCAAUCAUAAUGUCAUAAGAAUUCUUUAUAUCUUUAUGUCACAGUAUAGGGAAAACGGUAGUAUUUAAUUUUCCCAGCAUUAGGUUGGCCUUUUGUGUACCCAAGGCAGGUGAAGGAAGUCAAAUUAGGAGCGCUGUGAUUGGAUGUAAGGGUACAAUAUAUUUUUUAUUUAUCUAUGAAUAACUGCAGUGUGUAUAUUUACAACAUAAAUUUUGAAACCUAUUGAAAUAUUUUCUAGAGAAUUAUUUGAAAAGACUUGCAAAAUUUCAUAAAUUUGGUGCAAAAUGACGGUGGGCAUGGAUAACAUAAACAAGCUCCGUUGGAAGUUGGUCAUGAUACUAUUUGGCUUUAAUUUUUAAAACACAAUAAUAAAGUACUAACACAACAUAUAACUGUUUUAUUCAAGUUUUUAUCUUAAAAAGUUGUAAAUUUAGAAAAUGUUAAUAUUGUCGCCUAUGGCAGAAUAAAUAGUACCGUUUUCCCUUAA
rnacentral:lncRNA from 1 species